GAAACAUGAUGAUGAUUGGCUGAGGACACACACUUUUUAUUUCCAUUUUUGUAUCGUGCUAUUUUUGUCAAUUUUGUAAUCGUUUCGAACAUUGUAAAGGCAAACUGUUGUGUGUACAGGUGUACGAAUUAAGGUGGAAAGAGUUUUUUUCUUUUUUUUCCCUCAUGAGGUCAUUUGAAAAACAAUGGAGGGGGAAGAACCUGUUGCAAGCUUUUAUACGCUGACUGUAUCGAGGACAUCGUCGCGUUUCAUCUUUGGCUGGGUCCUCCUCCAGCCAUAAAGAUUAGAUACGUCCACACGUUGGUCUGAAGUCCAAAGGUGGCAAGCGCCUUGUUAACAAGAGCCGCACGACCUGCUAAGCCUCACUCUUGUGCAACCGCAGAAGGAUUUGAGGAACCGAUCCCCCUUCAACCCACCCGAGGAUGAAUGGUCCGCAAAAAGCACAUACCAACAGGUCAACUGGGGCUAGGUAGACCACACCCUGGAUUGGUCGCCGGUCACUCAGAGGCCUGGAAGCCAAGCAAAUGUUGUGACGUAGGUGCAAAAUAU